CAGGAGAUCCCCGCCGGCACCGGCCAGCGCCGACCCGGAGCAGCGCCGCCGCCCGCCAGCGCCCCCACCCCGCCCGGGCCUCCGCCCGCCCACUCAGCGGCGGCUUUUCUUUCUUCCAAUUUUCUGUCCCUUCUCUCUGUUGGACUCUCCAGUUGCCUCUCCCCUUUCCCCACACUCGGGGCUCCUCUGCCCUGCUCCUUGCUUCUGGAGCUGGGGCAGCCGCGCUCCCACCUGCCGCCUGAGCCCUGCCCCUGCCCGGGUGGAGGGGGACGCUGCCCCGCCGCCUCCAGCUCCUGGAGGAAAACGUUUUGAAGCAGAACCCUGAAACAUGCAUCUGGGACAACUGCCCUUGACGCUUUUGGUGCUUAUGCUUAGGGGCACCUCAGAAACCUGUACUUCACGUCCUCAUAUUAAUGCCGUUGAAGGAGAACCUUUCUUUCUGAAAUAUUGCCCACUUUCUCCUGUGCAUGAACCAAGCACCACAAAAUGGUUCAAAGCCAGUGAGUCAGAUGGAAAGGUUGAGCUACGCUCGAGCAGUUCACCCAGAAUUACUUUGCACGAUUAUGUCCUGGAGUUUUGGCCAGUUGAGCUGGAUGACAGUGGAUCUUACGUUUUCCAGAGGGGAAAUGAUACUCAUGAUUGGAAAAUGAAUGUCAUCAGAAGAAGUAAACACAGCUGUUUUACUGAAAGACAAGUAACUAGUAAAACUGUGGAAGUUGGAAAGGCUUUGCAGGUGGACUGUAGCCAUAGUUACUAUCAAGACCUGGUCCACAGAACGGCACUGUAUAAGAACUGUGAAAAGAUAGAGAACAAUAAAAACCCAUCUUUAAAGAAGAAUGCAGAGUUUAAAGACCAGGGAUAUUACACCUGCAUGUUUUUCCUUCAUCACAAUGGAAAACUAUUUAAUGUCACCAGCACCUACAAUAUAACAAUAGUUGAAGAUCGCAGUACUAUAAUUCCAGCUAUCCUUGGACCAAAGAUUGAACAUGUUGAAGUGGAAUUAGGAACAGAUGUGCAGCUCAACUGCUCUGCUUGGCUGAAUGAAAAGGAUUACAUCUAUUGGAGCUUCCAUAGAAAAGAUGGGCAGGACCCAAAUGAGCAUGAAGGGGAGGAAAUAAAGAUCAGGACUUCAGAAGGCAAAUGGCACGCUUCAAGAAUAUUGAGAAUUGAGAAUAUUAAUAAGAAAAAUCUAAACUUUUCAUAUAAUUGCACUGUGUCCAGCGACAAAGGCCCAGACACCAAACGCUUCAUCUUAUUGACAAAAGAGAGCGGGGCCCGCGAGAUGUGCACAGUGGGGUCAGCCGCGCCGGAACUCCGGACCCAAUGCCAAGCAGAGCAGGACGCACACAAGUUAUGCUUUUGCCCUCAGUGCCAAUCCUAUGUAGAAGCCAGGGGCCCGGAGCAGGGAGGCAGGUGGGCCAUGAGGAGAGAGUCCAGUCCCCGCAGGACACGGGGCGAGGGGGACGGGGGGGAGGGAAGCGCAGCUCAGCAUGGGUUGCAGCCAGCGGCACUGGAGGGGGUGCAGCCUUCUGCAGCUGGGUGGGCAGGGCCCUGGGAGUAUUCAUUCCUCCAUAACAGCCAGCGGAGGCCUCCCUGCCUCGGGCCAGACCCUGAACUUGGCAAGUGGACAAUGGACGGCCCUGGUCAGAGGACCCUUCGAGUUUUUCCAGAGCUGCCUCCGUCUUCCACUAGUAGCCCACCCAGAGCCUCCUGCUGCAGCUUCCCAGCAACAGCUGUGCCCAGUGGACAGCUGUGCUCCAGUGACUACUCACUCACACUCGCUCCCAGGCUGGCCACCACCCCAUAUGCAGGGAAAGGCUGGGAUCUGAGAGAGAGUGAGGCGGGGGGGGGGGGGGAGAGAGAGAGAGAGAGAGAGAGAGAGAGAGAGAGAGAGAGAGAGGUGUAUGCUGUGUCUUGCUUUGGUGAGAAACUGAAGGAGUGAGGGGCACAGAAGCUAAGACCUAAAGCCCCCCCUCCCCCCCACGUGUGGGGUCCUGGUUCCCAUCCGCGACUCACCUGGAGCACCUCUUCAAGGCCCUCAGUCCACCCACGUAUUCACAAGGAUGGCUGACGCUCUUCAUGCUCAUUCACACAGGCUGUGCUAGGCUCUGACCACCGCUCACCCUGUGUACAACACGUUACACAAGUAGACAGCAAAGCUAGACCCCACGGGCUGUGAGACCCCACGGGCUGUGAGACCCCACGGGCUGUGAGACCCUGAUGGGCUGUGAGACCCCACGGGCUGUGAGACCCCACGGGCUGUGAGACCCCACGGGCUGUGAGACCCUGAUGGGCUGUGAGACCCCACGGGCUGUGAGACCCCACAGGCUGUGAGACCCCAAGGGCUGUGAGACCCUGAUGGGCUGUGAGACCCCACGGGCUGUGAGACCCCACGGGCUGUGAGACCCCGAUGGGCUGUGAGACCCCGGGGGGCUGUGAGACCCCACGGGCUGUGAGACCCCACGGGCUGUGAGACCCUGAUGGGCUGUGAGACCCUGAUGGGCUGUGAGACCCCACGGGCUGUGAGACCCCAUGGGCUGUGAGACCCCACAGGCUGUGAGACCCUAAUGGGCUGUGAGACCCCACGGGCUGUGAGACCCCACGGGCUGUGAGACCACACGGGCUGUGAGACCCCCACGGGCUGUGAGACCCUGAUGGCCUGUGAGACCCCACAUGCUGUGAGACCCCACAGGCUGUGAGACCCUGAUGGGCUGUGAGACCCCGGUGGGCUGUGAGACCCUGAUGGGCUGUGAGACCCCACGGGCUGUGAGACUAAUAGCUGAGCUCGGGCCCUUGCCUUCUGUAGGAUCGUCACGAUGCCCGUCCGCCUCACGGGGCACACAUGCCGUGGCCCACGGGCAUGUGCAGGGAGGGUUUCCGGCAUUGCUUCUGCGUGCUCAUCGCAUGCCUGGGUUUGUGAUGAUCGUCACCAGCUCCUCCCCCCUUAUCAGUGCUGGAUGUCCUGUCCCUGCCACAGAGGGUUCCGCCCGGCCAUUCUCCUGCUGCUCUGCUUGCAGAUGUCAGCCAGCACAGGGCCUCCCCUGCACUGUCACCCCGAGGGAGUGCGCCCGUGUGAACGUGUGUGCGCGCAUGUGCACGUGGCACAGUCACAGACAGGCAGGCCUUUCACAGACCAGGAUCCUCAGGGACUGGCUUUAUUCGGAGUUCACUUAGUUAGCAAAUGUGGCCGCUUACUUACAUCCUAGUAGUCAAUUUUACUGGAAAGAUCAUCCCUAACAUUUGUGCCAAGAUGUCAAGAGCUUUAUGCAUUUCUGCUCUUCGAUCUGGAAAUCCUCAGCGUUCAGAACCUGCUCUAGCAGAAUCAUCAAGCACAAGCAUAAAGCCGCGGCCAGAGAUUUGUGUGUUCCACCCAGCAUCUUAGACCCCGAGAGGCCCGCCUUCCACCGACAGGGAUAGACGACAUUACAUGCUUUCAGUUCAGGUCUCUGAAUACCUUGCACACAUUUUAAUUUGUUAA